rnacentral:ncRNA from 2 species
GGAACCCGGUGUGAUUCCGGGGCGGUUCCGCCACUGUGAUGGGGCACGCGUUGACUGCCAGCGCGGCGAAGCCGGGCGCAGCAGGUCAACGCCAUGGGCACAGCGCGCCCCCAGCCAGAUAC